rnacentral:rRNA from 1 species
GACGGAGGAUGCAAGCGUUAUCCGGAAUGAUUGGGCGUAAAGCGUCCGCAGGUGGCAGUUCAAGUCUGCUGUCAAAGACCGGGGCUUAACUUCGGAAAGGCAGUGGAAACUGAACAGCUAGAGUAUGGUAGGGGCAGAGGGAAUUCCUGGUGUAGCGGUGAAAUGCGUAGAGAUGUGGAGGAAUACCGAUGGCGAAGGCAGCCCCCUGGGAUAACACUGACGCUCAUGCACGAAAGCGUGGGGAGCAAACAGG